GUGGGUAUAGCUCACUGGUAGAGCACGUGCUUAGCAUUCACAAGGUCCUGGGUUCAAGCCCUGGUACCUCCA
rnacentral:tRNA from 1 species